GGUAUAAGCUGGGGGAAUUCAGAAUGUAUCCAACACAACACUAGCCAUGAACUUAAAAAAGAAAUGUCAGGUGAAAACUGCUAAGAAACAAAAAAGAAAAAAAGUCACAUGCAGUGAUGCAUGCCUAUAGUCUCAGCUACUUGAAAGACUGAGGCAAGGAAAAUCCAAGUGUUUGGGACGUAUCUCUAUAUUGCCUUCUCUCUCUUUUCUGAUUUUUAUUUUAUUUUUUUAAAGUUGUUUUGAGACAGGGUCUUACUAUGUGGCCCAAGCUGGCCUAUAAGUUUACAUGUAACCCAGACUGGCUUUGAACUUAAGAGUUCU